GAGGGAAAGGUGAAAAGCACCCCGACGAGGGGAGUGAAACAGUACCUGAAACCGAACGCCUACAAUCAGUCGGAGCUUGACUGGACUCUAAUGACAAUCUGGGCCAUCUGGUUCUAUCGACGAAUGCGGUAGGACAUCAAAGAUGGCGGAUGGAACCUUUGCAGUAUUGCUCAUCGUGCUCGGCCUUGCCGACAUGAACGGGAAUUACUGCGGAACGGACGGCGGCUGCCUGGCGCGGUCGGACGUCCAGCCACGCCUGGCCAUAUCGGCCGGAGAAGUGGUCGAGCGGCGUGCCAAACCGGCGGCGGAAACCUAUCUGCGUUACGAUGCGGACCGAAAGAUCGGUCCCUUCGGACAGGCGGUUGGGCUGUCGGUCGGUGAAGAGGGCGAAACCUGGGUCGGCUAUGGCGCGACCUACAGGAUCGGCCUUUGGGACACGCCGUUCUACGCGGAGCUGCACACCAUGCCGGGGGUCUACCUCGACAACGGUGGUUUCGAUCUCGGCGGGCCGAUCGAAUUCCGAUCAGGUAUCGAGCUGGGGUGGGAAAAUGACCGCGGCUGGCGCUUUGCCGUCAGUUACGAUCACCGCUCCAACGCGGAGAUUUACGACAACAACCCGGGCAUCGAAACGGUGCAGUUCCGGGUCAGCGUUCCAACCAGAUGAACACUCCAGGAAUGGAGAGAUGUGGGAACUUACGACAUUGCAGCGCAAUGCAAUGUUGCCCACCCGUCAGCAUCUUUCGGAUGCGACGUGAUUGUCAUUAGUGUCCAGUCUUGUGACGGCGUACCUUUUGUAUAAUGGGUCAUCGACUUGGUCUAUCUAGCAAGCUUAAGCCGAUAGGUGUAGGCGCAG
rnacentral:rRNA from 1 species